UGGUAUAGGACAAACGCUAUUUGGGAUUACUAAAAAUUCAACCAUGAAUUUUCGCACGAUUAUUCCCUAUUAUUUAGCUGCUUUGAUUCUUGUUCUUCUCAUUUUGACAUCAGUAACCGACAGCGCAUGCGUACAGACAACACAAGCUCCAACGACGCAAGCUCCAACUACAACACCGUUUAUACCAGUACCAUGAAACCUGAGGACAAUGACAUAUGCAUAUGGUAGAAUAAAACACCAUUAAGGAUGUCAAAACUGCUUAAGUGAAAGAAAUGAUU